rnacentral:rRNA from 1 species
UGAGGAAUAUUGGUCAAUGGGCGAGAGCCUGAACCAGCCAAGUAGCGUGCAGGAUGACGGCCCUAUGGGUUGUAAACUGCUUUUAUGUGGGGAUAAAGUGCGUGACGUGUCAUGCAUUGCAGGUACCACAUGAAUAAGGACCGGCUAAUUCCGUGCCAGCAGCCGCGGUAAUACGGAAGGUCCGGGCGUUAUCCGGAUUUAUUGGGUUUAAAGGGAGCGUAUGCUGUCUAUUAAGCGUGUUGUGAAAUUUACCGGCUCAACCGGUGGCUUGCAGCGCGAACUGGUCGACUUGAGUAUGCAGGAAGUAGGCGGAAUUCAUGGUGUAGCGGUGAAAUGCUUAGAUAUCAUGACGAACUCCGAUUGCGCAGGCAGCUUACUGUAGCAUAACUGACGCUGAUGCUCGAAAGUGCGGGUAUCAAACAGG